AACUAAGAAUUGUGUUUGGUUUGUCCAUUCGAUUGCUUAUAAAGUGAUCGAAGAUUAAAAUGUUGGUUUUGGGAUGCAUGUAAAUAAGAUGUGUUCAGAGUGAUUGUUAAAAGAAAGUUGCGAGAAGUAAUUGUUAGGCGAUUGUUUUUAACUUUGUGUUUUUAAUUUACAAGCGAUGCAUAUAUUACAGAUCUUCGUGCUGUUGUGCGGGUUGAAAAAAAUUUUCGAUCAAAGAAUACCCGAUGACUGGCAAAAUACUAAAGGGAUAGCUCUCAUUUCUUCCGAGUUGUAUUACCCUCAUUAUUUUCAUAUGUGCUACCGAAGAGCAUUGCCUCCCUUUUCUAUUGGCUCCGGGUCUUUCAACCAAUCCAAAAAGUUAUCAGUACGUCAUUUUCAAUGGUAUGCUCAACAGAUUUUACGUGUUUUAAUACAGAAUGAAAGAUGCUAUUUUCCAAUUACUUGAAAGUUACUUCAGAUGUCUGGAUUCCUUGCUUCGUUUCAUAAUGGCUCGCACAUCUAAAACUACAUAAUCAUCUGUAAUUUGCUCAAAACGACUCUUCCUAUGAAGAGGAUGCUUUUAAAAUUGUGAUGUUCCCUGUGCAGCUGGAAACAAUGUCCAUCGAUUUUUAAAAUUUUAAGCUGUUCUUAGAGAAUAUUAAAUUGUUAUCUCAAAAUAUGCGGGGCUGGACUCUCCCGCUUUGAUGUAAAAUGGAAUUGUACGAUAUGUUCCAAUU